ACCAAUUCUGGGGGAUUUUCAGUUCCUCUCGGUGUAAUGGCUCAGACGCAAUAUUGCAAGUGGUUAUAUCCUGAUUGAUGGACUUGUAUAUCUGUGCCAUAUUAUCCUGGAAACGCCACUUAAAUUU